rnacentral:rRNA from 1 species
GGACGAACGCUGGCGGCGUGCUUAACACAUGCAAGUCGAACGGUAACAGGAAGGGCUUCGGCCUUUUGUGCUCGAGUGGCGAACGGGUGAGUAACACGUGGGUGAUCUGCCCUGCACUUUGGGAUAAGCCUGGGAAACUGGGUCUAAUACCGGAUACGCAUUCAUGUGGAAAGCGGGGGAUCUUUUGACCUCGCGGUGUGGGAUGGGCCCGCGGCCUAUCAGCUUGUUGGUGGGGUAAUGGCCUACCAAGGCGUCGACGGGUAGCCGGCCUGAGAGGGUGUCCGGCCACACUGGGACUGAGAUACGGCCCAGACUCCUACGGGAGGCAGCAGUGGGGAAUAUUGCACAAUGGGCGCAAGCCUGAUGCAGCGACGCCGCGUGGGGGAUGACGGCCUUCGGGUUGUAAACCUCUUUCAGCACAGACGAAGGCAGUAAAGUUCAUACCUUUGCUCAUUGACGGUAUGUGCAGAAGAAGCACCGGCCAACUACGUGCCAGCAGCCGCGGUAAUACGUAGGGUGCGAGCGUUGUCCGGAAUUACUGGGCGUAAAGAGCUUGUAGGUGGUUUGUCGCGUUGUUCGUGAAAUCUCACGGCUUAACUGUGAGCGUGCGGGCGAUACGGGCAGACUAGAGUACUGCAGGGGAGACUGGAAUUCCUGGUGUAGCGGUGGAAUGCGCAGAUAUCAGGAGGAACACCGGUGGCGAAGGCGGGUCUCUGGGCAGUAACUGACGCUGAGGAGCGAAAGCGUGGGGAGCGAACAGGAUUAGAUACCCUGGUAGUCCACGCCGUAAACGGUGGGUACUAGGUGUGGGUUUCUCCUGGGAUCCGUGCCGUAGCUAACGCAUUAAGUACCCCGCCUGGGGAGUACGGCCGCAAGGCUAAAACUCAAAGGAAUUGCGGGGGCCCGCACAAGCGGCGGAGCAUGUGGAUUAAUUCGAUGCAACGCGAAGAACCUUACCUGGGUUUGACAUGACAGGACGUCGGUAGAGAUGUCGGUUUGCCCUUGGGAAUCUGUGUGCAGGUGGUGCAUGGCUGUCGUCAGCUCGUGUCGUGAGAUGUUGGGUUAAGUCCCGCAACGAGCGCAACCCUUGUCCUAUGUUGCCAGCGGUUUAUCCGGGGACUCGUAGGAGACUGCCGGGGUCAACUCGGAGGAAGGUGGGGAUGACGUCAAGUCAUCAUGCCCCUUAUGUCCAGGGCUUCACACAUGCUACAAUGGCCGGUACAAAGGGCUGCGAUACCGUGAGGUGGAGCGAAUCCUUCAAAGCCGGUCUCAGUUCGGAUCGGGGUCUGCAACUGACCCCGUGAAGUCGGAGUCGCUAGUAAUCGCAGAUCAGCAACGCUGCGGUGAAUACGUUCCCGGGCCUUGUACA